rnacentral:misc_RNA from 1 species
AGAAUUUGAAUACAUACAGUGAGACCCUAGAGCUCAAGCAUUGUAUAUCUUUACCUGAGAUCUUACAAAGAGGAAGAUGAAGAUGUAAAAGAAUAAAGUAGGCUAUGCUGAUAUUUCACAUCCUGGCCAGAGAUCACCCUGCUUUUGUAAAGCUUUGGAGAAAAUGGGU